UGGGGAAUAUUGCACAAUGGGCGAAAGCCUGAUGCAGCAACGCCGCGUGCGGGAUGACGGCCUUCGGGUUGUAAACCGCUUUCAGCAGGGACGAAGGUUUUCUGACGGUACCUGCAGAAGAAGCACCGGCUAACUACGUGCCAGCAGCCGCGGUGAUACGUAGGGUGCGAGCGUUGUCCGGAAUUAUUGGGCGUAAAGAGCUUGUAGGCGGUCCGUUGCGUCGGAAGUGAAAACUCAGGGCUUAACCCUGAGCCUGCUUUCGAUACGGGCGGACUUGAGGGAUGUAGGGGAGAACGGAAUUCCUGGUGGAGCGGUGGAAUGCGCAGAUAUCAGGAGGAACACCAGUGGCGAAGGCGGUUCUCUGGACAUUUCCUGACGCUGAGAAGCGAAAAGCGUGGGGAGCAAAACAGGCUUAGAUACCCUGGUAGUCCACGCCGUAAAACGGGUGGGCACUAGGUGUGGGACCCAUUCCACGGGUUCCGUGCCGUAGCUAACGCAUUAAGUGCCCCGCCUGGGGAGUACGGCCGCAAGGCU
rnacentral:rRNA from 1 species